rnacentral:rRNA from 1 species
UACGUAGGGGGCAAGCGUUGUCCGGAAUCAUUGGGCGUAAAGAGCGCGUAGGCGGCCCAGUAAGUCCGCUCUGAAGGUCAGGGGCUCAACCCCUGGAUGCGGGUGGAUACUGCUGGGCUAGAGUCCGGAAGAGGUGAGUGGAAUUCCUGGUGUAGCGGUGAAAUGCGCAGAUAUCAGGAAGAACACCCGUGGCGAAGGCGGCUCUCUGGAACGCAACUGACGCUGAGACGCGAAAGCUAGGGGAGCAAACAGG